GGAUGUGAGGGUGAUCUGGCCAUGACAUCUGUCACCCCAUUGAUCGCCAGGGUUGAUUAGGCUGAUCUGGCUGGCUAGGCGGGUGUCCCCUCCCUCCCUAACGGCUCCGCGUGCAUCCCUCCCAAAGUGGUGCGCUCAGUCAAAGAGGAUGACCUUCCCCAAACAGAGGAGGACCGGUCUUCGGUCAAGGGUACACGAGUAGCUGCUCUCCCCUGCUAGAACCUCCAGGCAAGCCCCCCAAAAGGUAGGUGGUGUGAAGAACAACAGUCCAGGUUGUCCUU
rnacentral:snRNA from 1 species